rnacentral:rRNA from 1 species
AGUGGAUGGGGAGCAACCUAGUUGUGCGUGUGUAAAGGUAGUGCCAAGAAAAGCGGUGAUCAUGAUGAAAAUCAAUUCCCGGUACCCGAAACCGACACAGGUGGGCAAGUAGAGAAUACUAAGGGGCGCGAGGUAACUCUCUCCAAGGAACUCGGCAAAAUGACCCCGUAACUUAGGGAGAAGGGGUGCCACCGAGAGGUGGUCGCAGUGAAGAGGCCCAGGCGACUGUUUAGCAAAAACAUAGGUCUCUGCAAACUCGAAAGAGGAGGUAUAGGGGCUGACGCCUGCCCAGUGCCGGAAGGUUAAAGAAGUUGGUCAGUCUUAGGAUGAAGCUAGCGACUGAAGCCCCGGUGAACGGCGGCCGUAACUAUAACGGUCCUAAGGUAGCGAAAUUCCUUGUCGGGUAAGUUCCGACCCGCACGAAAGGCGUAACGAUCUGGGCGCUGUCUCGGAGAGAGGCUCGGCGAAAUAGGAUUGUCUGUGAAGAUACGGACUACCUGCAUUUGGACAGAAAGACCCUAUGAAGCUUUACUAUAGCUUGGAAUUGUGUUCGGGCUUCCUGUGCGCAGGAUAGGUGGGAGGCGUAGAAGGUAUUCUUGUGGGGAUACUGGAGCCAACGGUGAGAUACCACUCUCAGGAGGCUAGAAUUCUAACUUAAUUAAGGACAGUUUCAGGUGGGUAGUUUGACUGGGGCGGUCGCCUCCAAAAAGGUAACGGAGGCGUACAAAGGUUCCCUCAGACUGGUUGGAAAUCAGUCGAAGAGUGCAAAGGCAGAAGGGAGCUUGACUGCGAGAAGUACAGUUCGAGCAGGGUGGAAACACGGUCUUAGUGAUCCGACGGUGCUGUGUGGAAGGGCCGUCGCUCAACGGAUAAAAGUUACUCUAGGAUAACAGGCUGAUCUCCCCCAAGAGUUCACAUCGACGGGGAGGUUUGGCACCUCGAUGUCGGCUCAUCGCAACCUGGGGCGGAAGUACGUCCCAAGGGUUGGGCUGUUCGCCCAUUAAAGCGGUACGUGAGCUGGGUUCAGAACGUCGUGAGACAGUUCGGUCCAUAUCCGAUGUAGGCGUGAGAAUAUUGAGAGGAGCCUUCCUUAGUACGAGAGGACCGGGAAGGACGCACCGCUGGUGUACCUGUUAUGAUGCCAAUUAUAAACGCAGGGUAGCCAAGUGCGGAGAGGAUAACCGCUGAAAGCAUCUAAGUGGGAAGCCCACCUCAAGAUGAGUAUUCUGGUGUAAGGUCACGGGAAGACGACCCGUAAAUAGGCACGAGGUGGAAGUGCAGAGAUGUAUGAAGCCGAAGUGUACUAAUAGACCGUCGGCUUGAUC